rnacentral:rRNA from 1 species
UGGGGAAUUGUUCGCAAUGGGCGCAAGCCUGACGACGCAACGCCGCGUGGAGGAUGAAGGUCUUCGGAUUGUAAACUCCUGUUGCCCGGGACGAAACGCUCCGACCUAACACGUCGGAGUCUGACGGUACCGGGUGAGGAAGCCCCGGCUAACUCUGUGCCAGCAGCCGCGGUAAUACAGAGGGGGCUAGCGUUGUUCGGAAUUACUGGGCGUAAAGGGCGCGUAGGUGGCCUGUUAAGUCGAACGUGAAAUCCCCGGGCUCAACCCGGGAACUGCGUCCGAGACUGGCAGGCUCGAAUCCGGGAGAGGGAUGUGGAAUUCCAGGUGUAGCGGUGAAAUGCGUAGAUAUCUGGAGGAACACCGGUGGCGAAGGCGGCAUCCUGGACCGGUAUUGACGCUGAGGCGCGAAAGCCAGGGGAGCAAACGGGAUUAGAUACCCCGGUAGUCCUGGCCCUAAACGAUGAAUGCUUGGUGUGGCGGUAUCGAUCCCUGCCGUGCCGAAGCUAACGCAUUAAG